rnacentral:rRNA from 1 species
AUUGAUGCGGCACACUUGGACUAGAACUGGCAGAUUCUACGAGCAGCCGUACGAAUCUCGGCAUUGAACGAAGUUCGGACCGAGCAUCGCCGCGUGAGGUGAUGGACGUUUCCGAUCGUAAAGCUUCUGUUGUUAGGGAAGAACAAGUACCGUUCGAAAUAGGGCGGUACCUUGACGGUACCUAACCCAGAAAGCACGGCUAACUACGUGCCAGCAGCCGCGGUAAUACGUAGGUGGCAAGCGUGUCCGGAAUUAUUGGGCGUAAAGGGCUCGCAGGCGGUUUCUUAAGUCUGAUGUGAAAGCCCCCGGCUCAACCCGGGGAGGGUCAUUGGAAACUGGGGAACUUGAGUGCAGAAGAGGAGAGUGGAAUUCCACGUGUAGCGGUGAAAUGCGUAGAGAUGUGGAGGAACACCAGUGGCGAAGGCGACUCUCUGGUCUGUAACUGACGCUGAGGAGCGAAAGCGUGGGGAGCGAACAGGAUUAGAUACCCUGGUAGUCCACGCCGUAAACGAUGAGUGCUAAGUGUUAGGGGGUUUCCGCCCCUUAGUGCUGCAGCUAACGCAUUAAGCACUCCGCCUGGGGAGUACGGUCGCAAGACUGAAACUCAAAGGAAUUGACGGGGGCCCGCACAAGCGGUGGAGCAUGUGGUUUAAUUCGAAGCAACGCGAAGAACCUUACCAGGUCUUGACAUCCUCUGACAAUCCUAGAGAUAGGACGUCCCCUUCGGGGGCAGAGUGACAGGUGGUGCAUGGUUGUCGUCAGCUCGUGUCGUGAGAUGUUGGGUUAAGUCCCGCAACGAGCGCAACCCUUGAUCUUAGUUGCCAGCAUUCAGUUGGGCACUCUAAGGUGACUGCCGGUGACAAACCGGAGGAAGGUGGGGAUGACGUCAAAUCAUCAUGCCCCUUAUGACCUGGGCUACACACGUGCUACAAUGGACAGAACAAAGGGCAGCGAAACCGCGAGGUUAAGCCAAUCCCACAAAUCUGUUCUCAGUUCGGAUCGCAGUCUGCAACUCGACUGCGUGAAGCUGGAAUCGCUAGUAAUCGCGGAUCAGCAUGCCGCGGUGAAUACGUUCCCGGGCCUUGUACACACCGCCCGUCACACCACGAGAGUUUGUAACACCCGAAGUCGGUGAGGUAACCUUUUAGGAGCCAGCCGCCGAAGGUGGGACAGAUGAUUGGGGGAAGUCGAUCAACGAACAUUAAGC